rnacentral:rRNA from 3 species
GGUUAAGCGACUAAGCGUACACGGUGGAUGCCCUGGCAGUCAGAGGCGAUGAAGGACGUGCUAAUCUGCGAUAAGCGUCGGUAAGGUGAUAUGAACCGUUAUAACCGGCGAUUUCCGAAUGGGGAAACCCAGUGUGAUUCGUCACACUAUCAUUAACUGAAUCCAUAGGUUAAUGAGGCGAACCGGGGGAACUGAAACAUCUAAGUACCCCGAGGAAAAGAAAUCAACCGAGAUUCCCCCAGUAGCGGCGAGCGAACGGGGAGCAGCCCAGAGCCUGAAUCAGUGUGUGUGUUAGUGGAAGCGUCUGGAAAGGCGCGCGAUACAGGGUGACAGCCCCGUACACAAAAAUGCACAUAUUGUGAGCUCGAUGAGUAGGGCGGGACACGUGGUAUCCUGUCUGAAUAUGGGGGG